rnacentral:rRNA from 1 species
UACGUAGGUGACUAGCGUUGUCCGGAUUUACUGGGCGUAAAGAGCGCGCAGGCGGUCGUUCAAGUCGAGUGUGAAAGCCCCCGGCUCAACUGGGGAGGGUCAUUCGAUACUGCUCGGCUCGAAGACAGGAGAGGGAAGUGGAAUUCCCGGUGUAGUGGUGAAAUGCGUAGAUAUCGGGAGGAACACCAGUGGCGAAGGCGACUUUCUGGCCUGUUCUUGACGCUGAGGCGCGAAAGCUAGGGGAGCAAACGGG